AACGAACGCUGGCGGCAUGCCUAACACAUGCAAGUCGAACGAGACCUUCGGGUCUAGUGGCGCACGGGUGCGUAACGCGUGGGAACCUGCCCUUAGGUUCGGAAUAACUCCCCGAAAGGGGUGCUAAUACCGGAUAAUGUCUUCGGACCAAAGAUUUAUCGCCUUUGGAUGGGCCCGCGUUGGAUUAGCUAGUUGGUAGGGUAAAAGCCUACCAAGGCGACGAUCCAUAGCUGGUCUGAGAGGAUGAUCAGCCACACUGGGACUGAGACACGGCCCAGACCCCUACGGGAGGCGGAAGGGGGGAAAUUGGAAAAAGGGGGGAAAGCCUGAUCCAACAAUGCCGGGGGGGUGAUGAAGGCCUUAGGGUUGUAAAGCUCUUUUACCCGGGAUGAAAAUGACAGUCCCGGGAAAAUAAGCUCCGGCUAACUCCGU
rnacentral:rRNA from 1 species